rnacentral:lncRNA from 1 species
GCAGAAGUUGACGGGCGCCAGGCCGGGCAGGUAGAAAGCGCCGCUCCGGCGCGGGCCAGGAACCGCCCCCAGCAGGAGCAGCGACAGCAGCAACAGCCGCGGCCACCGAGGUGGAGACAACACCGGCAGCCUCGCGCUCAUGAUAGUUGUUUCGGGGAAAGGGCAAUCAAACCUAGGGGGUCAAGAGGGAAGGAGGGGUGGGGAGUCUCGGAGACGACUACAAGGCCGCCAGAGAUAAAGGAAGCCGGCCCCCAGAAGGCUAGUUCCGGUUGCGCUAGGAGACACCCCGGGUCCCGCAACAGAAACCGAAGCGGACCGCAACAGAGCAUGCGCACCGCCGUCUGCACAUGCUCAGUGAGAACGGUCGCAGGCACCAGGAGGAGUUUCCGGGAGGGAGCGGGGGCGAAAUCCACUUUCCGGGUUUUCCGCGCGCCAGCUGAGGUGGUUGCUGGGAGAGGUGGUUGCUGGGAGAGCUGUUCCGGCGCUCACGUUCCAAUUCCAAAUUACAAAUUCCGAUCUAGAGCUCCCACGCUUGGGGGCUGUGGAGCGCUCGCCAGCCGCUCCCCGUUUGCUGCUGGGUCUUACGAAGUUCUCAUAUCCAUCAUACAGUUUCUUUGUCACACUGUCCGCGGCACGCCAGUCCCUAUGACAGAAAGCACCUGCGGUCUGUCUGGAGGCGGAGUUGGUGGCGGAGAGAAAAAGUUCUGGAGACACCUGGUUGGGAGCAGGCUAAGGAAACAAAUGGGGAGGAAUUAGCCACAAAUCCUCAAAUAGACAGCUACUCAAAGGCAUCUUCACGGACAAUUUCCAAGCAUUGGAUGCAGUGGUGCAUUCUUGCAUUGGGCAGUGAUUGUGUGCACACAUCUCUUUAAGGGAGAGUGGAAAUGGGGUGAGGAGGAAAAUGGGAGUAGGAUAGAGUGUAGCGUUGACAUUUAUUUUCUUUAAAGGAAGACCCGAGCAUACCUGAGAGCUCAGUGAAGAAAGUAGUUCUGGCGAAUCGGAUUAAUAUGCACCACUGAAACUUGACCUUCGGCCGGCGCGGUGGCUCACGCCUGUAAUCCCAGCACUUUGGGAGGCCGAGAUGGGCGGAUCACGAGGUCAGAAGAUCGAGACCAUCCUGGCUAACACGGUGAAACCCCGUCUCUACUAAAAAUACAAAAAAAUUAGCCGAGCGUGGUGGCGGGCUCCUGUAGUCCCAGCUACUUGGGAGGCUGAGGCAGGAGAAUGGCGUGAACCCGGGAGGCGGAGCUUGCGGUAAGCCGAGAUCGCGCCACUGCACUCCAGCCUGGGCGACUGAGCACGACUCCGUCUCAAAAAAAAAAAAAAAAAAACAAAAAAAAAACUUGACCUUCAUUAUAUCUCACUGCCCUCAUCCCAAACAUUUCCUCUCCCAGUUUUCCAGGAAACGGCAUCGCUGCCCAUCUCUUUUCAGGCCCCAACCCUGGAGAAGAACCUAAAUUUCUCAUUUCCUCACUACCUACCUCCAGUCCUUCAGCAGGUCCCGUUGGUUGGGCUGCUAAACUAUGGGCUAAAUCCUUUCAGUACUUUCCAUGCCCACAGCUACCACUCUGGUCCAAGCCAAAUUCUUAGUUCCCCUGGACUUCUUACUGCAGUAGCCUCUCAGCUUCCACUCUUGGCAAAAUCAAUUUUAUAAAACCUUGAAAUCCCUUAAUACCACUCGUCUGCUUAAACCUCGGCAUCCCACAUUUACCACUAUCAGGAAGGAUCACGUUUGUUUGUUUGCUGUCUCAUUCCCCCAUUUAUAUGUGAAUUCCACGGGUAAGGGCCUGCUCCUACAUCCCACACCUCUACAUCCACAGAGCCUAGAGACCGCAGGCGCGGGGAAAGCACUCCACGACCAUCACUGGCCAGGCCACAAGAGUGCUGGAUCUAAAUUUGGAACCGGACUUUCAGAGCUGAAAUAAACCUGAGGUUUUCCAGGGGCUUUUAACCUCCUUUUACAGCCAAGGAUGCGCCUAAGAAAGGGGAGAGGCUUCCGUGACUUCCUGCAGUAACGCAGCCACUAGAGAUUGAGACUACAACGACUUGGGAGUCUAAAAGUCUGCAACCUUUUCCACUCCAGAGCUCAAUGUUUCCUCAAUCCCCCGGGAUCGGCAUCAGCAAAAACCCGGAGAAGCGGAGCCUUUCUCAAAGAAAAUGACCUCCAGACUCAUGCUACCAUCUCGACCGGUGCAAGUAUCACGCAUGCGCAGGGCCGGCCGCCCGGCCGCACCUCGCCAACUCCUACUCGGACACGUCAUCUAGGUCGGCCUGGGUCUGGUGGGAGGGGCCGGGGGCGGGGCUCGUACGCGGGGCGAAGUGGUCCCCCUACUUCCGGAUCCGGCCUCACCUGGCCAACGCCUCAUUCGGGGUUCCUUGGUUACGUGGCUGCGGUGUCUACCCGGUGCUGGGGCGUGGCGGAGAGAGACCGCCCCGCCCUCCACGCAGGCCACAAAAUGGAGGCCCUGCCCUGUGGGCUUUUGUGGCCUGGGCGCUGUCGUGCCGAAAGACGAAAGUGACAAUUCCAGUUGCAAACUGGAAAGAAAUGGAGUUUUUCCUUCAUUCUCCCCAUGAUCGUGACGGUCCUUUUCUCAAAGUACUAAUACUUUUAAUGGGACUGUAAAACUUGAGGGAUAUGACUCUCUCCUCUCCUCUGCUUCAGAUUGCAUUUGCCAACUCUGAUUUACCGCCAAUACUAUGGUGCUGUCAUAUUCAUAGAGACAGAAAGUAGAGCAGUGGUUGUAGAGAGAGUCUGCAGAAGGAGGGAUGGGGAUUUACUGUUUAAUGGCAUACGGUUUCAGUAUGGGUUGGUGAAAAAGUUGGGAUGAAUGGUGAUGACUGCACAACAAUGCAAAUAUGCUAAUGUCACAGAAGUGUACACUUAAAAAUGGUUAGACGGUAAGUUUUCUAUUAUGUAUAUUUUACCACAAUUUUUUUUUAAAUGCAACAGAGUCUCGCUGUUGCCUAGGCUGGAGUGCAGUGGCAGGAUCUCAGCUCACUGCAACCUCCGCCUUCCAGGUUCAAGCGAUUCUUGUGCCUCAGCCUCCCAAGUAACUGGGAUUACAGGUGCCAGCCACCACGCCCAGCUAAUUUUUGUAUGUUUAGUAGAGAUGGGGUUUCACCAUGUUGGCCAGGCUAGGCUGUUCUCGAACUCCUGAACUCAGGUGAUCCGCCUGCCUUGGUCUCCCCCAGUGCCGAGAUUACACGCGUGAGCCACCACGCCGGGCCCCACAGUUUUUUGUUUUUGUCUUUUAAAUUUUUUUUAACAGCAUUUGUGUCUUUUUUUCUUUUUCUUUUGUUUUUGAAACAGAAUCUCACUCUGUCACCAAGCUGGAGUGCAGUGGCGCCAUCUUGGCUCACUGCAACCUCUGACUCCCUGGUUCAAGCAAUUCUCCUGCCUCAGCCUCUCCAGUAGCUGGGGUUACAGGCACGCACCACCCCGCCCAGCUAAUUUUUGUAUUUUUAGUAGAGAUGGGGUUUCACCAUAUUGGCCAGGGUGGUCUCCAUCUCCUGACCCCGUGAUCCACCUUGCCUUCCCAAAGUGCUGGGAUUACAGGUGUGAGCCACUGCACCCAACCUAAAUGGCAUUUGUUUCUUCCACUCCUCUCUGCCAGAAUAAUUUGGACAGCCUUUUCUGAGUUUCCCAUGACGACUUCUGUAUAAGAUUGUCGGAUAUAGCAAAUAAAAGUACAGUAUACCCAGGUAAAUUUUAAUUUCAGAUGAUCAAUGAAUAAUUUUUUAGUAUAAGUACAUUCCAACUAUUACAUGGGACAUAAGGGUAUUUUAUCUGAUCACCCUACUUUUGUGUCAAGUUAAAAUUAUUAGCAAAAGUGCUUCCGUUUUUAGGAAGUGCACACUGUACUCUAGUAGUUAGGCAGGAGAACAGGGUCUGCGAGCAGGGAACCUAAGGCCGUUUCACACUGACUUCCUAGAGCCAUUUGGAAAGGAAAACCCUAACUUUCCACUCCUAAGUAACAAAAGGCCCAGAGGCCACUCCCUUUGCAAACCCCCACCUUUUCUGUGCCGCAGCUGGAAAAUUGAAAGUGCCUCUGAUUGGUUGCUUUCUGCAACUAAUCAGAUGUUUGCAUAGAGUGUAACUUUGUAACUUCACUUCAGCCUCUGAUUGGUUGCUGUCCCCAACCAAUCAGACUGAUUGUGGGCCAAGGCUUCGUUUGAAUAGAAGUGCAACUUUGUAACUUCACUUUAGCCUCUGAUUGCAGGCCACCACUUCAUUUACAUGGGGUGAGCACCAAUGCGUUUUGUUCAAUUCUUUGUUCAAAACCCCAAGAAUCUGGACAACUUGCACUCAAGACCCUCUACGGGUUUGGCGAGCCAGUCUUUCAGUGGCUGUUUUCUAGUAGCUCCUUGGCAAUUGAGGGGAACUGGCUGGGACCACUCUCCAGUGCUGUCUGAAGGCCAAGGAGUGAACAGGGAUGGCUGCCCUGCCUUGAAGAGGGAAGGACUCUUUUCUAUCCUUUCCAGCUAUAGUCCCUGAUCCCUACAUGUGAUGCGGUUGGCAGCGGAAGCUCAUCCUGGGCGAACUCACACACUUUUCAGGAGACUUAAACCUUUUCUUAUGCUAAGUUCUUCCCUUCCCCUACUCAUCUGGCUAAAGGACAGACUAUGCAAAAAAGGUUAUACAAGUCAGAGGGUCUGAGCAUGUCGGAGGUGGUCUGUGUGGGGCAUGGGGUGGGGGGAAAAUUCAUGAAAGGCAAUUUAUUGCCUAAAUUUAAAGGGUUAAAGGGUUGCUUUAAGUGGGAUAGAAAAACCUUAAGGAAAGUUCAUAGUAGGUCCUCAGUGGUGGAGUGUUGUGGGAAGUCAGGGACCCUGAAUGAAGGGACUGGCUGAAGCCAUGGCAGAAGAACAUAAACUGUGAAGAUUUCAUGGACAUUUAUUAGUUCCCCAAAUUAACACUUUUAUAAUUUCUUACGCCUGUCUUUACUGCAAUCUCUGAACAUAAAUUGUGAAGAUUUUAUGGACAUUUAUCACUUCCCCAAUCAAUACUCUUGUGAUUUCCUAUGCCUGUCUUUACUUUAAUCUCUUAAUCCCGUCAUCUUCGUAAGCUGAGGAGGAUGUAAGUCGCCUCAGGACCCUGUGAUGAUUGUGUUAACUGCACAAAUUGUUUGUAGAGCAUGUGUGUUUGAACAGUAUCAAAUCUGGGCACCUUAAGAACAGGAUAACAGCAACGUUCAAGGAACAAGGGAGAUAAUCUUAACGUCUGGCUGCCUAUGGGCCGGGCAGAACAGAGCCAUAUUUCUCUUCUUUCUAAAGCAAAUAGGAGAAAUAUCGCUGAAUUCUUUUUCUCAGCAAGGAACAGCCCUGAGACAGAGAAUGUGUGCCUAGGGGUAGUCCUCCAAAAUGGCCACUCUGGGGACGGCUGUCUUUUAUGGUCGUAGAUAAGGGAAGAAAUAAGCCCCGGACUCCCAUAGUGCUCCCAGGCUUAUUAGGACGAGGAAAUUCCCACCUAAUAAAUUUUGGUCAGACUGGUUGUCUGCUCUCAAACCCUGUCUCCUGAUAAGAUGUUAUCAAUGACAAUGCGUGCCCGAAACUUCACUCGCAAUUUUAAUUUCGCCCUGGUCAUGUGGUCCCGUGAUCUCACCCUGCCUCCAUUUGCCUUGUGAUAUUUUAUUACCUUGUGAAGCAUGUGAUCUCUGUGACCCACACCCUAUUCAUACACUCCCUCCCCUUUUGGAAAUCACUAAUAAAAACUUGCUGGUUUUACGGCUUAGGGGGCAUCACAGAACCUGCCGACAUAUGAUGUCUCCCCUGGACACCCAGCUUUAAAAUUUCUCUCUUUGUACUCUUUCCCUUUAUUUCUCAGACCAGCCAACACUUAGGGAAAAUAGAAAAGGACCCACGUGAAAUAUCAGGGGCUGAAUUUCCCCCGAUAGUGGAGGGAACCAUCCCAAAGCAGUGCCAGCCCCCAUCUAAGGUCAGAGACAUCUGACAGACUAAAUCAGGGCCCUAAAGUAGGGACGCCCCUGGGGACCCCAGUCUGGGUUCAGAAUUUUUUCAGGGGGAUGCCCUGGGUAAAGUUUGGGUCACCUAAUGGGCCCUCUACUUUUCAAAGUCCUCUUCUCUGUUCCAGACCACUAUGGGCAACUCUCUAUCUAUUCGACCUGAUUCCACUAUGGGCAAUUCUACACCUGUUCCACCGGAUUCCUCACUUGGCUACAUCAUCCACCAUUGGAAUCAAUUUGACCCUGACACUCUAAAGGGAAAAUGUAUAAUUUUUUUCUGUAAUACUGUUUGGCCCCAUUAUGAGCUGCCCAGCCCCCAGCAAUGGGCAGUCAGUGGUAGCCUUAAUUAUGACACCAUCCUGCAAUUAGACCUACUUUGCAAGAGGCUGGGAAGAUGGUCAGAAGUCCCAUAUGUACAGGCUUUUAUCAAAAUAUCAAAAACCUAACAAUCUGUGAAACUCCCAGAACCCACCCCCCAAAGGAAAGUACUAAGGCAGAACUAGAUAUUAUAGAUGACCCUCUUUUACAAGGGCUAGCUGUCUCUCAGGGUGAACAGCAACCAUCCCCAUAAAGCCCCUUGCCAAGUGCUCCUGAGGCUAAAACCCAGGAGCAAACACCAGGGACCCUACUAAAUCCCCCUCACACUUGGAGAGGAAUGCCAUAUUCAAUUCUCUCUCCAGCCCUGCUACCUCUUAGGGAAGUAGCAGGAACCAAGGGGCCAGUCCUAGUGCAGGCCCCCUUCUCUAUAAUUUAUACAUACAAUAUAAGGAAAAGCUAGGAAACUAUUCUGAGAAUCCUAAGAAACUUGCAGAUGGGUUCCAGCGUUUGACCUUAGCCUCUGAUCUAUCAUGGAGAGAUGUUCAAUUCAUUCUAGCAACCUGUUACACACCCUCAGAAAAGGAAUGAAUCUCUGAGGCCGCCCACCUGCAAGCAAUGAAUUAUUUGCCCAAAACUCUCAGGGCAAUCAUCCCGGCCCAGACACAGUUCCCACUAUUGAUCAUAAUUGGGACUAUAACACUCCUGAGGAAAUGAACAACCGGGCUAAAUUUCUUGAGGCUCUCCUUGGAGGAAUGAGAAAGGGAAUAACUAAAGGCAGUAAAUUAUGAUAAAGUAAGGGAGGUUACACAAGGCAAGGAGGAAAAUCCAGCCAUGUUUUAUGGCAGGCUGGAGGGAGACUUUAAAAAAUAUACUAAUCUGGACCCUUCCUCUCCCGAAGGCAAAAUAUUAAUAGCACAGCAUUUCAUUAGCCAAUCUGCCCCAGACAUUAGAGAUAAGCUCCAAAAGCUACAGAUGGGGCCACAAACUAAUCAAAAUCAGCUUACUUAUAUCACAUUUAUGGUGUAUAACAAUCGUGACCUGAAGGAAGGAAAAAGGGAACAGAGUAAACAAAAUGGCAAGCCAAAAGUAUGGCAGCCAUCAUUGACGAUGCCCUGAAUGUACAAAGAGUGUCUAAGGGAAACCCGAAGGGCCAUAAAGAUAAUGCCAGCAAAGGCUCUUGCUUCAAAUGCAAGAAAAGAAGACAUUGGGCAAAGGAUUGUGCUAAGUCCCCGCCAGGCCCCUGCCGUCAAUGCAAGGGCACCAGUCAUGACCCCUGGCACUGGAGAAUUGACUGCCCAUGUUCCCACUGAGGGGCUCAGUCAGUCAAAACUCUAGCAGUGCAAAAGGAGGAAUUAGAUGAAGACUGAAGGGGCCUGAGGUCUUCCUCACUGCCCCUGUUCAGGAACAUUGUAAUUACUACUGAGGAGCCCCAGGUAACUCUGGACGUCAUGGGCACCCAAAUUCAGUUUCUUUUUGAUGCAGGAGCAAAUUACUCUGUUCUUACUGCUUAUGCAGUAAGGCGUUCCUCCCAGUCCACAAGUGUUAUGGGAAUAGAAUGGAAGCCACAAACGAGUUUUUAUUUUAUUUUAUUUUAUUUUAUUUUACUUUAAGUUCUGGGAUACAUAUGCAGAAUGUGCAGGUUUGUUACAUAGGUAUACAUGUGCCAUGGUGGUUUGCUGCACCUAUCGACCCAUCAUCUAGGUUUUAAGUCCCACAUGGAUUAGGUAUUUGUCCUAAUGCUCUUCCUCCCCUUGCCCCCAACCCCCCAACAGGCCUUGGUGUGUGAUGUUCCCCUCCCUGUGUCCAUGUGUUCUCAUUGUUCACCUCCCACUUAUUAGUGAGAACAUGCGGUGUUUGGUUUUCUGUUCCUGUGUUAGUUUGCUGAGAAUGAUGGUUUCCAGCUUCAUCCAUGUUCCUGCAAAGGACAUGAACUCAUUCUUUUUUAUGGUUGCGUAGUAUUCCAUGGUGUAUAUGUGCCAUAUUUUCUUUAUCCCGUCUAUCACUGAUGGGCAUUUGGGUUGGUUCCAAGUCUUUGCCAUGGUAAAUAGUGUUGCAGUAAACAUACAUGUGCAUGUAUCUUUAUAAUAGAAUGAUUUAUAAUCCUUUGGGUAUAUAUCCAGUAAUGGGAUUGCUGGGUCAAAUGGUAUUUCUGGUUCUAGAUCCCUGAGGAAUCACCACACUGUCUUCCACAAUGGUUGAACUAAUUUACACUCCCACCAACAGUGUAAAAAUGUUCCUACUUCUCCACAGCCUCACCAGCCUGUUUCCUGACUUUUUAAUGAUCACCAUUCUAACUGGUGUGAGAUGGUAUCUCACUGUGAUUUUGAUUUGCAUUUCUCUAACAACAAGUGAUGAGCAUUUUUUCAUAUGUUUGUUGGCUGCAUAAAUGUCUUCUUUUGAGAAGUGUCUGUUCAUAUCCUUUGCCUACUUUUUGAUGGGGUUGACAAACAAGAUUCAUUACUCCUCCUUUGAUUUGUCAAUUUGAGAAACAACUCUUCCAACAGGAUUUCCUAGUAGUACCAAGCUGCCCAAUCCCCCUGUUGGGAAGAGAUAUUAUGGUUAAAAUGGAGGCACUACUACAAUUUAAGCAUCACCCAUUGAAAUUGCUGAUAGUCAAAAAUACAGUGUUCCAGACCACAUUAAUAAAUAGGUUAACCCGCUGGCAUUGGUAUACUGGAAAACCAGGGAAGGCUAAAACAGCAGUGCCAGUCAAAAUACAUUUUAAAGACCUCAGCUAGUUUCCCAAUUGAAAAUAAUAUCCAAUUAAGCAGGAAGCAAGAAAAGGCCUAGCACCCAUAAUUGAGGUAUUACUUAUUACAUGGGCUCUUAAAAUCCUGUAAUUCCCCUUGCAAUACCUGUUCUAAAGCCUUUGGGGGAAUACCAGUUAGUAUAGGACUGGAGAAUACCGGUUAGUAUAGGACCUGAGAAUAAUUAAUGAGGCUGUUAUCCCCGUCCACCCACUGGUGGCAGAUCCAUAUACCCUUAUGGCUCAGGUACAAGGGGAUGCAAAAUGGUUCUCAGUCCUGGACCUAAAAGAUGCUUUCUUCUCCAUCCCUCUGGCCCCAGAGUCCCAAUACCUUUUUGCCUUUGAAUGGGAAAAUCAAUAUGAGGGAAAAACAGUAAUAUACCUGGACAGUGCACCCUUAGGGCAUUCAGGAUAGCCCCCAUUGGAUUGCCCGAGCCUUAGAGAGGGAUCUGAAGGAUCUGAAAGUGAAAAAUGGGAAUAUACUCCAGUAUGUGGAUGACUUUCUUGUGUGUAGCCCAAACCCAGGAGGUUUCUGACCAAACUACUAUAAAAACUUUGAAUUUCCUGGCAGACAGGGGAUACAAAGUGUCCGACAAGAAGGCACAGAUUAUCCUCCAAUGGGUGCAAUAUUUAGGGUAUGUCUUAACACCCAGAGCCUGACAAAUAUCCCC